rnacentral:rRNA from 1 species
UGGGGAAUAUUGCACAAUGGAGGGAACUCUGAUGCAGCGACGCCGCGUGAGUGAUGAAGGAAUUCGUUUCGUAAAACUCUGUUCUAUGGGAAGAAAAGGACUGUACCAUAGGAGAAAGCUCCGGCCAAAUACGUGCCAGCAGCCGCGGUAAUACGUAUGGAGCGAGCGUUGUCCGGAAUUAUUGGGCGUAAAGGGUGCGCAGGCGGCUUUACAAGUUGGAUGUGAAAUAUUGUGGCUCAACCACAAACGUGCAUCCAAAACUGCAAAGCUUGAGUUAAGGAGAGGUAAGUGGAAUUCCGGGUGUAGCGGUGGAAUGCGUAGAUAUCAGGAGGAAUACCGGGGGCGAAGGCGACUUACUGGACUUAAACUGACGCUCAGGCACGAAAGCGUGGGGAGCAAACAGG